rnacentral:tRNA from 1 species
UGGCUCAGAGGUUAAAGCAUCUGCCUGGAAUUCAGGAGACCCAGGUUCAAUCCCUGG